rnacentral:rRNA from 1 species
GAUUAGCGGCGGACGGGUGAGUAACACGUGGGUAACCUGCCUCAUAGAGGGGAAUAGCCUUUCGAAAGGAAGAUUAAUACCGCAUAAGAUUGUAGUACCGCAUGGUACAGCAAUUAAAGGAGCAAUCCGCUAUGAGAUGGGCCCGCGGCGCAUUAGCUAGUUGGUGAGGUAACGGCUCACCAAGGCGACGAUGCGUAGCCGACCUGAGAGGGUGAUCGGCCACAUUGGGACUGAGACACGGCCCAGACUCC